CUUUACUUUAUUUAAGUGAAGUCUCCUGACCUCUGACAAAGAUACUCUCUGUCUCUCAUGUUUUUCAUUCAUCACUCUACCAGAGUUUGCUGGCCUGAACCUGGCAAGUGGCGCCUGAACAGUGACAUGAAACUGCUGUGAUGGCUUUGCUGAUCUGAACCUGGCACGUGGAGCCCGAACAGUGACAUGAAACUGCUGUGAUGGGGAAUGCAAAUCAAACUAUAUUGAGAUGCCAUAUCACUCCAGUCAGAUUGGCUAUCAUCAAGAAGACAAAAAAGAACAAAUGCUGGCAAGGAUGUGAGGGAAAAUGAAGACUUCUAUACUGUUGGUGAAAAUAAAAAUGAGUACAGUCACUAAGGAAAGCAGUACAGCAUUUCUCCAAAAACUAAACAUGGAACUACCAUUUGAUCCAGCUGUACCACUCUUUAGUUAUUCCCCCCAAAAUUAAAGUAACAUACUAAAGCGACAUCUGUAUAACCAUGUUUGUUGUAGCAUAAUUCACUAUAGUUAAGCUGUGGAACCAGCCUAGGUGUUCAUCAACGAUGAAUGAAUAAAGAAAAUGUGAUAUAUAAAUGGAAUAUUACUCACCCAUUAAAAGAAUUAA